rnacentral:lncRNA from 1 species
AUAGAUUAGGAAUCACUGUCCACUUUAAGGAAAUUAAACACUAGCCACUUUAAUAAUGUUUACGUAUCUUGCAUUACUCAUCUCAUAUGUGUAAACUGUACUCUGUACUAUUCUACGGUAUCUUAGUCACUUUAAUUGUGUGUAAAUAUUACAUCACCCAUUUCAUAUGUAUAUACUGUAUUCUAUACUAUGCCACUGUAUCUUAGUCCAAUGCCGCUCUGACAUAUGUAUAUAUAUAUUCUUAUCCAUUCCUUACUUAGAUUUACGUGCAUUUUGGGUAUAUGUUGUGAAACUGUUAGAUAUUACUUGUUAAAUAUUACUACACUGUCGGAGCUAGAAGCACAAGCAUUUCGCUACACCUGGAAUAACAUCUGCUAAACAUGUGUAUGUGACCAAUACAUUGGAUUUGAUUUGUACAGAUUAUUCUGAAGCUUGGAAAACUAGCCUUCCAAAACUUGGAAAAGAGCAAUCUGGUGUUUCUGAAGACGAUCUGAGAGAGUGUGGCAUUGAUGUCAACGAAGCCUUCUUGCUCUCAGGGAUGUGCAGAGAUCUUCAGAGAGGAGGACCCAAUGUUUAGAACAAAGACAUACAGCUUUGUGCAUCUCACCAUUCAAGAGUUCUUUGCUGCACUCUACAUUUCCUACAUUUAUGUAAGUGAAAAUGUGAACCUCGUUCAUUUCAAGACAUACGAGGUUACCGGUUCCUCUUGAUGAGGAAGACAUCCUCCCUCAACCUGAAGGUUCUCAGAGAACAUUGUUUGACUUGCAGAGGAGUGCUGUGGACGAAGCGUUGAAGAGCGAGACCGGUCAUCUCGACCUCUUCCUCCGCUUCCUUCUGGGCAUCUCACUGGAGUCCAAUCAGAUCCUCUUGAAAAGCCUACAGCUCCAGACAGAGGGAGACACAGAGAGCAUCCAGAAGACAAUCCAGUACCUCAAGGAUAAGCUCUCACCUGGCAACCAUGGCAACCAGAUUUUUUAGACGUUUUGAAGCAGUACUCCUCGGAGCAGUGUAUCAAUCUCCUUCUCUGUUUGAUGGAGUUGAACAAUAACUCGCCGGUGGAGGAAAUUCAAAGUCAGACUGAGAGGAAGUUGACCCCUGGUCAGGGUUCAGCGCUGGCCUACAUGCUGCUGAUGUCAGAGGAGGCGCUGGGUGAAUUUAACAUGAGAAAAUACUGGUCCCGGCAGGAAGGCUAUGGAAGUUCAGAUGUUAUUUAUCAUCGGUUUGCUUUGCAAGCAUUUCCAAGAAUGCCAUGAUUACAUACAAGCCAAGUCCAGGCCAAUGUCUGCAAAGUAAUAAGGCACCAUUUUAAAACCCAAAUGAAGCAGAAUAGUUUGUGGUAGGAGGGCUGCAGUUGACGUGUUCUAUUACCUUGGAAGUGUUUUUUGUUUUGCAUUCAUUCACAUGAUUCUAAUCUGAUCUGUUUAAACCCACCUGUGAAGUAAUUCUAAGUAAGUGAGGAAAUUUAAUCAUAGAAUUAUAUGCAUAAAUUACCCAAUAAUUUGCAUUGGAAAUUGCACAUUUUUUGUUGGUAUUCCUAGGUUUGUGGGAUGCGUUCUCAAAGAGGACUGCUAUGAUACGUUAGGCUCAUCUCUGGUGUCGGAGAACAGCCGUCUGACAGAACUGGAUCUCAGCUACAACAAACUGACAGACACCGGGGUGGAGAGGAAGUCCACUGGGCUUAUGAGUCCACACUGUAAACUGAAGAUACUGAGACUUGUCCAUUGUGAGGCCACUUUCUGUGGAAGUCUGGCCCCUGCUCUAGCAGCCUCCCAGCUGGAUGAACUGCAUCUGAGCUGCAACACCCUGGGCGACAUGGGACUGAAGCGGCUCUCUGCUGGACUGGAGGAUCCACACUGUCAGAUACAGAAACUGGGGUGACAAAUUAUGAUAGUAAAACGCUGUUAAAAAAAUAUGAAUAAAAUAAAUGUAUGUGUGUGG